GGGGCACGGGGGGAGGAAAGUAGGGGAUCGCAAGACCUUGCGCUUUUGGAGCGGCCGAUGUCUGAUUAGCUAGUUGGUGAGGUAAAGGCUUACCAAGGCUUCGAUCAGUAGCUGGUCUGAGAGGACGACCAGCCACACUGGGACUGAGACACGGCCCAGACUCUACGGGAGGCAGCAGUGGGGAAUUUUGGACAAUGGGGGCAACCCUGAUCCAGCCAUGCCGCGUGAGUGAAGANNNGNUUCGGGUUGUAAAGCUCUUUCAGCCGGAACGAAACGGUCACGGCUAAUNNNCGUGAUUACUGACGGUACCGGAAGAAGAAGCACCGGCUNNNUACGUGCCAGCAGCCGCGGUAAUACGUAGGGUGCAAGCGUUAAUCGGAAUUACUGGGCGUAA
rnacentral:rRNA from 1 species